UCGACGAACUCUGGUAUUGAUUGGUGCUUGCAUCAUGAUUUACAUUUGAGUGAGUGGCGAACUGGUGAGUAACACGUGGGAAACCUGCCCAGAAGCGGGGGAUAACACCUGGAAACAGAUGCUAAUACCGCAUAACAACUUGGACCGCAUGGUCCGAGUUUGAAAGAUGGCUUCGGCUAUCACUUUUGGAUGGUCCCGCGGCGUAUUAGCUAGAUGGUGAGGUAACGGCUCACCAUGGCAAUGAUACGUAGCCGACCUGAGAGGGUAAUCGGCCACAUUGGGACUGAGACACGGCCCAAACUCCUACGGGAGGCAGCAGUAGGGAAUCUUCCACAAUGGACGAAAGUCUGAUGGAGCAACGCCGCGUGAGUGAAGAAGGGUUUCGGCUCGUAAAACUCUGUUGUUAAAGAAGAACAUAUCUGAGAGUAACUGUUCAGGUAUUGACGGUAUUUAACCAGAAAGCCACGGCUAACUACGUGCCAGCAGCCGCGGUAAUACGUAGGUGGCAAGCGUUGUCCGGAUUUAUUGGGCGUAAAGCGAGCGCAGGCGGUUUUUUAAGUCUGAUGUGAAAGCCUUCGGCUCAACCGAAGAAGUGCAUCGGAAACUGGGAAACUUGAGUGCAGAAGAGGACAGUGGAACUCCAUGUGUAGCGGUGAAAUGCGUAGAUAUAUGGAAGAACACCAGUGGCGAAGGCGGCUGUCUGGUCUGUAACUGACGCUGAGGCUCGAAAGUAUGGGUAGCAAACAGGAUUAGAUACCCUGGUAGUCCAUACCGUAAACGAUGAAUGCUAAGUGUUGGAGGGUUUCCGCCCUUCAGUGCUGCAGCUAACGCAUUAAGCAUUCCGCCUGGGGAGUACGGCCGCAAGGCUGAAACUCAAAGGAAUUGACGGGGGCCCGCACAAGCGGUGGAGCAUGUGGUUUAAUUCGAAGCUACGCGAAGAACCUUACCAGGUCUUGACAUACUAUGCAAAUCUAAGAGAUUAGACGUUCCCUUCGGGGACAUGGAUACAGGUGGUGCAUGGUUGUCGUCAGCUCGUGUCGUGAGAUGUUGGGUUAAGUCCCGCAACGAGCGCAACCCUUAUUAUCAGUUGCCAGCAUUAAGUUGGGCACUCUGGUGAGACUGCCGGUGACAAACCGGAGGAAGGUGGGGAUGACGUCAAAUCAUCAUGCCCCUUAUGACCUGGGCUACACACGUGCUACAAUGGAUGGUACAACGAGUUGCGAACUCGCGAGAGUAAGCUAAUCUCUUAAAGCCAUUCUCAGUUCGGAUUGUAGGCUGCAACUCGCCUACAUGAAGUCGGAAUCGCUAGUAAUCGCGGAUCAGCAUGCCGCGGUGAAUACGUUCCCGGGCCUUGUACACACCGCCCGUCACACCAUGAGAGUUUGUAACACCCAAAGUCGGUGGGG
rnacentral:rRNA from 2 species